UCCUAUCUCUUGCAGUUAUUUUUAAUGCUAAUACCAUAAACUCCCAAUAUUGGUAGUAGCAUUUUCGAGAAUCAAUGUUUGUAUCUGAUUCAUCAUCGAUAGAGAUAUGCCAGAAGCGAGUUCAAAAUUUAUCUAACGAACGAUAUGUCUUAUUUUUCCUUUGAGAUACGGAGUCACUCGAAGAUUUAUUAUUAAGUUUCUCAUUCAAUUUAAUCUGCUGCGACCUAUGGCCCAAGAGAUAAAAUUAUACCGUCAACGUAAUGAAAGAAAUAGGCAGGGAUGUCAGUGGUAGGUGACUCUGGAAAUAAGUGAAAGAUGUUUGCAUUCGUUGGGGAAUUAUUCUCAAGAAUUUUGUUCUGAAUGGGUCUCCAACAUCCGGAAAAUGGAUCACAUAAACAAUGAUCUGUCCUGUUACUAAGUACUAGUGCCGCAGGAGUACAUUGGACCUCCUGCUGCUCAAGUGCUUAUCAAUGGGAACAGUUUAUCCCACAACGAACCCCAGUAGAGCAGAUUCAAUCCCCACAAAACCCGAUUUUUUACCGAAAUGCAGGAAUACUGUACUGGAAAAUAUUCAUCGAACUGGUUUCGAUGAAAAAAUUGAAAUUUGUUUUGAUUUUCUUUUGUUUCUAUGUGUUUUUCUUCAUCAGGUUAAAUUCUUGAAUAAAUACAAAGACUUACAA